UGCAAGUCGAACGGUGAAGCCCAGCUUGCUGGGUGGAUCAGUGGCGAACGGGUGAGUAACACGUGAGCAACCUGCCCCUGACUCUGGGAUAAGCGCUGGAAACGGCGUCUAAUACUGGAUACGAACCACGAAGGCAUCUUCAGUGGUUGGAAAGAUUUUUCGGUUGGGGAUGGGCUCGCGGCCUAUCAGCUUGUUGGUGAGGUAAUGGCUCACCAAGGCGUCGACGGGUAGCCGGCCUGAGAGGGUGACCGGCCACACUGGGACUGAGACACGGCCCAGACUCCUACGGGAGGCAGCAGUGGGGAAUAUUGCACAAUGGGCGGAAGCCUGAUGCAGCAACGCCGCGUGAGGGAUGACGGCCUUCGGGUUGUAAACCUCUUUUAGCAGGGAAGAAGCGAAAGUGACGGUACCUGCAGAAAAAGCGCCGGCUAACUACGUGCCAGCAGCCGCGGUAAUACGUAGGGCGCAAGCGUUAUCCGGAAUUAUUGGGCGUAAAGAGCUCGUAGGCGGUUUGUCGCGUCUGCUGUGAAAUCUGGGGGCUCAACCCCCAGCCUGCAGUGGGUACGGGCAGACUAGAGUGGGGUAGGGGAGAUUGGAAUUCCUGGUGUAGCGGUGGAAUGCGCAGAUAUCAGGAGGAACACCGAUGGCGAAGGCAGAUCUCUGGGCCGUAACUGACGCUGAGGAGCGAAAGGGGGGGGAGCAAACAGGCUUAGAUACCCUGGUAGUCCACCCCGUAAACGUUGGGAACUAGUUGUGGGGUCCAUUCCACGGAUUCCGUGACGCACCUAACCCAUUAAUUUCCCCGCCUGGGGAGUACGGCCGCCAGGGCUAAACUCAAAGGAAUUGACGGGGACCCCCACAACGGCGG
rnacentral:rRNA from 1 species